UCCGUAGGGGGCAAGCGUUGUCCGGAUUUAUUGGGCGUAAAGAGCGUGUAGGCGGUUCGGUAGGUCCGUUGUGAAAACUCGAGGCUCAACCUCGAGACGCCGAUGGAAACCAUCGAACUAGAGUCCGGAAGAGGAGAGUGGAAUUCCUGGUGUAGCGGUGAAAUGCGCAGAUAUCAGGAAGAACACCCGUGGCUAAGGCGGCUCUCUAGUACGGUACUGACGCUGAGACGCGAAAGCGUGGGGAGCGAACAGG
rnacentral:rRNA from 1 species